rnacentral:rRNA from 1 species
AUUGAACGCUGGCGGAAUGCUUUACACAUGCAAGUCGAACGGCAGCACGGGGGCAGCCCUGGUGGCGAGUGGCGAACGGGUGAGUAAUACAUCGGAACGUGCCCGGUCGUGGGGGAUAACGUAGCGAAAGUUACGCUAAUACCGCAUACGAUCUGAGGAUGAAAGCGGGGGACCUUCGGGCCUCGCGCGAUCGGAGCGGCCGAUGUCAGAUUAGGUAGUUGGUGGGGUAAGGCCUACCAAGCCGACGAUCUGUAGCUGGUCUGAGAGGACGACCAGCCACACUGGGACUGAGACACGGCCCAGACUCCUACGGGAGGCAGCAGUGGGGAAUUUUGGACAAUGGGCGCAAGCCUGAUCCAGCCAUUCCGCGUGCAGGACGAAGGCCUUCGGGUUGUAAACUGCUUUUGUACGGAACGAAAAGGCUCUGGCUAAUACCUGGGGCUCAUGACGGUACCGUAAGAAUAAGCACCGGCUAACUACGUG